UACAGAGGGGGCGAGCGUUGUUCGGAAUUACUGGGCGUAAAGGGCGCGUAGGCGGCCUGCUAAGUCGGACGUGAAAUCCCUCGGCUCAACCGGGGAACUGCGUCCGAUACUGGCGGGCUUGAAUCCGGGAGAGGAAUGCGGAAUUCCAGGUGUAGCGGUGAAAUGCGUAGAUAUCUGGAGGAACACCGGUGGCGAAGGCGGCAUUCUGGACCGGCAUUGACGCUGAGGAGCGAAAGCGUGGGGAGCGAACAGG
rnacentral:rRNA from 1 species